UACGAAGGGGGCUAGCGUUGUUCGGAAUUACUGGGCGUAAAGGGCGCGUAGGCGGCCGAUCAAGUCAGAUGUGAAAGUCCUGGGCUUAACCUGGGGACUGCAUUUGAUACUGAUUGGCUUGAAUUCGGGAGAGGAUAGCGGAAUUCCCAGUGUAGAGGUGAAAUUCGUAGAUAUUGGGAAGAACACCGGUGGCGAAGGCGGCUAUCUGGACCGGCAUUGACGCUGAGGCGCGAAAGCGUGGGGAGCAAACAGG
rnacentral:rRNA from 1 species